rnacentral:rRNA from 1 species
CGUAGGCGGGAUAAUAAGUCAGUGGUGAAAGUUUGCAGCUUAACUGUAAAAUUGCCGUUGAAACUGUUAUUCUUGAGAGUAGAUAAGGUAGGCGGAAUGUGUUGUGUAGCGGUGAAAUGCAUAGAUAUAACACAGAACCCCGAUUGCGAAGGCAGCUUACCGGGCUACAUCUGACGCUGAUGCACGAAAGCGUGGGGAUCAAACAGGAUUAGAUACCCUGGUAGUCCACGCAGUAAACGAUGAAUACUAGCUGUAUGCGAUAUACUGUAUGUGGCAAAGCGAAAGCAUUAAGUAUUCCACCUGGGGAGUACGUUCGCAAGAAUGAAACUCAAAGGAAUUGACGGGGGCCCGCACAAGCGGAGGAACAUGUGGUUUAAUUCGAUGAUACGCGAGGAACCUUACCCGGGCUUGAAAUGCAAUCGACGGUAUUGGAAACAUUACUUCCAGCAAUGGCGAUUGUGUAGGUGCUGCAUGGUUGUCGUCAGCUCGUGCCGUGAGGUGUCGGCUUAAGUGCCAUAACGAGCGCAACCCUUAUCAUUAGUUGCCAUCGGGUUAUGCCGGGAACUCUAAUGAGACUGCCACCGUAAGGUGUGAGGAAGGUGGGGAUGACGUCAAAUCAGCACGGCCCUUACGUCCGGGGCGACACACGUGUUACAAUGGGGGGUACAGCGGGCAGCUACCUGGCGACAGGAUGCUAAUCUCAAAAGCCGAUCUCAGUUCGGAUCGGAGUCUGCAACUCGACUCCGUGAAGUUGGAUUCGCUAGUAAUCGCGCAUCAGCCAUGGCGCGGUGAAUACGUUCCCGGGCCUUGUACACACCGCCCGUCAAGCCAUGGAAGCUGGGGGUACCUAAAGUCCGUAACCGCAAGGAGCGGCCUAGGGUAAAACUAGUGACUGGGGCU